rnacentral:rRNA from 1 species
GACGAACGCUGGCGGCGCGCCUAACACAUGCAAGUCGAGGGGCAGCAUGUCGGUUGCUUGCAACCGACGAUGGCGACCGGCGCACGGGUGAGUAACGCGUAUCCAACCUACCCUUGUCCAUCGGAUAACCCGUCGAAAGGCGGCCUAACACGAUAUGCGGUUCUCAGCAGGCAUCUAACGAGAACGAAAUGUGAAGGAGAAGGAUGGGGAUGCGUCUGAUUAGCUUGUUGGCGGGGUAACGGCCCACCAAGGCGACGAUCAGUAGGGGUUCUGAGAGGAAGGUCCCCCACAUUGGAACUGAGACACGGUCCAA